rnacentral:rRNA from 1 species
GACAGAGGUGCCGAGCGUUAGGCGGAAUCACUGGGCUUAAAGCGUGUGUAGGCGGACUUCUAAGUACCUUGUGAAAUCCCACGGCUCAACCGUGGAACUGCUUGGUAUACUGGUUGUCUUGAGCCACUUAGGGGCAGUCGGAACAGACGGUGGAGCGGUGAAAUGCGUAGAUAUCGAGAGGAACACCUGCGGCGAAGGCGGGUUGCUGGGCCGACACUGACGCUGAUGCGCGAAAGCCAGGGGAGCGAACGGG